rnacentral:lncRNA from 1 species
UCGUUCGGCCUCGCCGCGGGCCUAGGAUCCAAAUCCCUUUCAAGUUGCUCUAGUUCAUUCAUGGUUUGCUUCACAUAGAUCAUUACUGCUGGGACACAAGUAGUAUAGGUCAUGUCUUCACAAACCCGACAUCUUCUGAAAAUGGCGCAAGCAAUGGCUCUAAUCCUGUCUCUUGUUUGCUUUUUUCUAUAAGCAAGCAUUUUAUCUUAUCACUGCAUGUUUUUAAUGCGCGAGAGUUCUGUAGGUGUUGAUCCUGCAACUGCUGCACUUCUACCUCCAUUUGGGCUAACAAGUUGUAACAAUGUCCACUUUCAAUUUCAAAAUUUCUAGCAUGUUUAACUCUUUACCCUCAAGAGCAACCACUUUUCUCUUUAGAUUGGAAACAAUUUCUCGUGGUCCCUUUUCAAUUGAUUCAAGUACUGGAGACGCUCCUCUGUUCUUGUAGCCCACUGUGCUUUGAGCUCUUCCAGGACAUUCUCAGAUUUUUCUAAUUCAUCCCAACAUUCCAUAUUUUAUUUUCCAACCCUUUUAUCAAUCGCUCAUCUGAUCGACUCCUUUGUUGCUUAUCAGCGGCUAUUCUCAACUACCAGAUUUGGGCCCUAAGCACGUCGUUUUCUCGAACCAGUCUGUUCUUCUCACCCUGAUCCGCGGCAACUUGCACAAUGUUCUCAAAUUUCAGACCUUCAACUUGUUGCUUCAGCUUACCAAUUUCAGCCCGAUAACCUUCUUCCUUUGCUAACCAAUCUCGUAGUUCUAGUGAUGAUUGAGUGAAAUCCUGGACGUGGGGUCUUUUAGAUGGCCUCUGAUGCUCAAGUUACUUUUGUACCAUGCGAGGUAUUCUGCAAUACUUCUCCUUUGGGCCGAUCCUGUGCACAAGUAUCGGCUUGUAGAUAUUGACGUUCAUUCCAAAUCUCGCGGACUUUUG